rnacentral:rRNA from 1 species
UACGUAGGGUGCGAGCGUUGUCCGGAAUUACUGGGCGUAAAGAGCUCGUAGGUGGUUUGUCGCGUUGUUCGUGAAAACUCACAGCUUAACUGUGGGCGUGCGGGCGAUACGGGCAGACUAGAGUACUGCAGGGGAGACUGGAAUUCCUGGUGUAGCGGUGGAAUGCGCAGAUAUCAGGAGGAACACCGGUGGCGAAGGCGGCUCACUGGACCGGAACUGACGCUGAUGCGCGAAAGCGUGGGGAGCAAACAGG